UAGCCAUUCGAUCCAACAUUUUCACUCCCCGAGAUGCCUGCCCCGGCCUCCGCCCCCGGCCGGCGGCCACUGCCGCCUCCGGACCCGCUACCGUGAUCCCGUCCGCGGCGCACCCCCGACCGUGCGGCCGCAGACGCAAGGUGAGCUCGUGCUACCUAUCCGUGCCGCUGCCCGCCAAGGCCCAUCGCAUCUCCACCUCGUCGACCCGCUCCCCAUUCGUAACGUCUCCCGCGCGCGGCGUGCAGCACCACCACCGCGCGGGGACUGGCUGAGGACGCUGAGGCGAAGGAGGGUCGCGAUGCCGGCGCCAGGGCGUGGCUGCACGAGUUCCGGGACGCACUGUACGAGCUCGACGACACCGUCGAUGAUUUCCGCCGCGCCGGCUCCUGACGGCAGCCGCUCCUCCUUCAGCCUAGCGGAGUAGGGAUCCAUCGAGCCCAACCUGGAUUGGUUCCUUCUGCUGGCAGCUCCUGAUUUGAGCCCAUCCAUCCAGGCCUCGAUUUGUUGAUUCCUUCUCUUGGUGAUCACUCCUUCGGUCCUUCCUUUAGUUGGAUGGAUCCAGUUCUUCUAAGAGGGUGGAUUCCACAUAGUUUAUUGUUGAUUUGUGCGCUGCUACAAAUCUAAAUCCAUCCAUGGUUUGAUCGGGAUCUUCUUUGGUGCUUAAGGCUGUACCCUUGGCAGCCGAUUAAUUAAGGUGUGGGUCCAGUUUCUUUUCCAAAGAAUUUGAGCGAUUUGCCGCCGUGAUGGGUCCACGCAGGGUGAGCAUGGAGAACACAAACGAGGUGUUCAAGAGCAUGAAGAUCGGGCUGGUAUUUUAAGGCUAUGUAAGCCUCUAUCGUUUACCCAAAUAACAUGCUCAAUCCCUUAGGGUCCAAGAUUGAUUGUACUGGCCGCUAUAGUCAUUUGAUUUUUUUGGUAUAUACUGUUUAUUGUUUCAAAAUGGCAGAAUUAGUUCUGUGGAUUUUCAUAGCAAGGCUACAAACUAUCUUGUAACAGCCAGUGAUGAUGUAUCAAUCCGCCUGUACGACACUCAAAAGUCAAAAUGCAGUAUAAGUGUGAAAUGUUAGUCUAUCUUCUGAAUUUUUUAUUCUAAGCGAAGAGGUUUACUACAUAUUUUUUUUAGCCUUAAAAGAUACAAUUUCUA